rnacentral:lncRNA from 10 species
UCAAAAAAAAAAAAAAGAGAAAAAGAAAAAAUACAAAAAAUUAGUUGGGCAUGGUGGCCUGUAUCUAUAGUACCAGCUACUCAGGAGACUGAAGUAGGAGGAUUGCCCGAGCCUGGGAUGUCAAGGCUUCAGUGAGCCAUGAUUGUGCUGCUGCACUCCAGCCUGGGUGACAGAGUGAGACGUUGUCUCAAACAGGAAAAAAAAAAAAAAGUAGCAUAAAAUCUUCAAUCUGUCUUUCUCUCUGACUUUGUCUUUCUCUGACUUUGCUUCUAUUGUCACAUCUCUUUCUCUCUCUGACUUUCAUAGCUCCCCCUCAUAAAAACCCUGUCAUUACAUUGGGCCCACCUGCAUAAUACAGGAUAAUCUCCCAUCUCAAGGUCCCUUAAAUUAAUCACACCUGAAAAGUCCUAGGCCCACUUAAAUAAGAAUGCUUGUGAUUUUUGUACAUUGAUUUUGUAUCCUGAGACUUUGUUCAUAUGGAACCAAAAAAGAGGCCGCAUCGCC